rnacentral:rRNA from 1 species
AUGCUCCCUCGCCCGCAAGUUCCGCUCUCUCCCAUCUACGCAUCACGGCAACACUUCAGCUCCUCUUAUGGAUUCUCACCAGAUCAGGCCACCUCACUCACCUUCAAUUGUCAGGACCUCACCGGCAGAUCCCUCAGCUAUCAGGGAAAGCAGCCAUCAGCGGAGAUUGAGGGUGCCUCUCCGGCGAGAGUGCUCGUGUCGUGGUGGUUUCCCACCAGCGGCAUGGGGGAGGCGGUGUCCUCUACCGCUAGGUCUACUUGCUGGCGACCUCACCGUCACCAGCCCAUCUGUAGCCUACUUGAAUGGAUAUGGUUCCUGAGAGACCAUUUCUUAUGCAUCAGGUCCUGA